rnacentral:rRNA from 1 species
UACGAAGGGUGCAAGCGUUACUCGGAAUUACUGGGCGUAAAGCGUGCGUAGGCGGUUUGUUAAGUCCGCUGUGAAAGCCCUGGGCUCAACCUGGGAAUUGCAGUGGAUACUGGCAAGCUAGAGUGCGGUAGAGGAUGGUGGAAUUCCCGGUGUAGCGGUGAAAUGCGCAGAUAUCAGGAGGAACACCGAUGGCGAAGGCAGCCCCCUGGGUCAAGAUUGACGCUCAUGCACGAAAGCGUGGGGAGCAAACAGG